rnacentral:tRNA from 1 species
GCUCACAUAGCUUAGCUAGUUAGAACAUAGGACUAGGAGUCCUUGUGUCAUUGGUUUGAAUCCACUUCUAAGCG